AAAAAGGCAAACCCUGAGUUUCCGUGUCCAACGUUUGAUUGUCCGUCUUAUAUAAAAUUUUUUUAUAAUUAGUAUUUUCAUUGUUGUUAGAUGAUAAAACAUAAUUAAUACUUUAUGCGUGACUUAUAUUUUUAAUUUUUUUCAUAAUUUUUUCAAAUAAGACGGACGGUCAAACGUUGAACACGGAAACCCAGGGUUUGUCUUUUU
rnacentral:pre_miRNA from 1 species